UACUUUGGGCCAAAUUUAAAUAAAAAAAGGAGUUAAUUAAUGGAAUCGAUUUUUACCUAAGAAGUUUUUGGUAGUGUUGCUUGUGUCACGUGGCGAGUUGUGAUAGGAGAUAGGAGACAGCGAAGACGAUGGCGAUGUUAGAGACCAUGAGCAAAUGCUUCUCCUCCUCAUCAUCAUCCUUUUCGUCUGCAAGCCAUGGCGCUUCCUUCUCUGUUCCUGAUCCUCCCCUUUCUCUACCUUCAAGGUGGGGGAUUUGCAGAGACCGCUUGUAUCUCAUGAUGAGAAUCUGAUCCAAGGCCAAAGCAGUGAGGUCUCAAGGGAAUUUGAUUUAGAAGAAGCUUGUUUCCAAAACGAAGGCCUGUUGCGUUCUUCUCUCACUGAGGGACGAGGGGUUUACAAACCAAGGCUUCCUUCUUCUUCUUCUUCUUCUCCCCAUCUCGCCCAAGGUAAAGUCUUUCAGCAUCCCUCUUCCCUAUCCAGUCGGCAUUCUUGAGCUUAUCCAUCGGGUCCUUAAAAUUUAUGAAGGUGAAAGCUUUGAUCUACAAAUAAUCUCUGAACCUUCUGACAAUGCUUUGGUGGGGAAGACGCUUAAGCAUCCAGCUGAUAAAGUUAGCUCCCAAGAGGUGCAAACCUAUGGCUCGCAGCAACCUGAUUUGGAAAAGGAUAUACUUUCCCAGCUUUCUCCAAGAGUUGUUGUUAAAGAUCAAAGUAAUUUCCUUUUAUUUUGUUUUCCUAAGUUUAUAAAUAAUACAACUUCAAUCUAUAUCUUUAAUUAGUCGUGCAAGAUAUAUAACAUAUCUUGUGUUAGAUAUACACCUAAGCAUUGUAUAUCUAAAUGGUCUCUGUAAGUUUUAUCUGAAUGGUCUCUGUAAGUUUUAUCUGAAUGGUUGAACUUGAAGGUGUUGCUGAUAAAUUCUUAAGUAUGUGGAUGAACUAAGAUUCCAUUGAUAAUGUUGUAUUUUACUUAAGUAUCUUAGAAAACUUCUUAGACUAAAAAUAGUAAUUAAAAAUUCUAAGAUGUUUGCUAAGAGUUGCCAUUGAUAAUGUUGCUCUUAGAUAUAUAGAAUUAUUCAUUUUACCAUCUUCAAACACAUAUAUGCAUGCAUCUUAAAACACAUGCAUAUAUAGACUCCUUUAUAUGUGAUCGCCUAAAUAUGUAAAAUAUAUACUCUUUUUAAGUCUAAAUCUUUAUCUUACUUAUGAUAAUAUUUUUUGCAUGACACAGAGUUGCCUUUCAAGUAUGGUUUCUUAACGAUAUCAAUUUCAUUAGGUUAAUAAAAUCUUAACACUUCGUUGAUAGAUUUAGUUGUCAAUUCCUCACAGCAGUUUUUGUUAAUUAAUUUAUGAAAAACUACGUUAAUAUGUACUGUACUUGCUAUGUUUUGGACCUAUAUAUAAUUUUAAUUGAACAUAGUUUCAACUCCUACUUUAUUAUAAGUAGUAAAAGUUUUGUACAUCCAAGAAAUUGUAUUUCACAAAGAAAAUGUUCUGUGUCCCAAGAACAAAGCAUAUAGGUAGAUGCAAAAAGUUCCCGGUUUUUUAAGGGAGCACCAUCUUUGACUCCCAAAAAGUUUUAGGAACUCAAAAAGCCUUUUUGUAAUUUGUAUUCGUUCAACUAUAAUCUAUGCAAAUAUUUUUUUUUUUUAAACUGGAAGUGCAAACUAUGAUUCAUUGUCAUAUGCCAAGAAAAGUGACUUAGUUUUCAACUAAAUGUGAUUUAGUGUUUUUUCUAAAAGUGAUUUAGGUUCAAAUGUAAUUAAAUGUACACACAAGAGAAGUCAACAUGUGGUACUAACGAUCAGUAUAUUGACACGAAAACAAAGAUCUAUUGAUGACCAUGACACCAAUAAUACAGCGAUCAAAUGAUAUAUAGCCUAGUACUACCCUUUUUUUUUUUUUAAUCUGAAGCCUAUUACUAUACUACACGUAGACACGUAGUAAAACAUGUAGUAAUGUUAGCCGGAAUUAAACUAAAAGUCUUGUUGGAAGCAGAACAUGGUUCAAUCACAGGUGAAUUAUUUAUCUUUUGUGUUAUCAAUUUGAGCAUAAAAGAGUAAAACAGGUCUGAAAUAUUACGAAUUUGGAUUUCCAAAAUAACGAUCAUGUGCGUGGACAUAAUAAAGCUAUUUGAUAGAUCUUGAAUGGACUAAAUGCUUUUUUUUUUUUUUGAACGACGAAGACUAAAUGCUUUCUUCUAUCAACUUAUCAUACAAGUUAGAUCUUCCUAACUUCUUCUUCUUUAGGUUUGUGAUAUCGAGGAAGUGAGAAGACGGGAAUGCCUUUAAGGAGAUACUGGAAAGAAAUGAUUAAGGCAUAAUUACAGAGUUGGCCCAAACAUGGCAUGUUGCAUGUUGUUUUGUACUGUGUUAGAGAGAGGAUCUUUGGCAUUUCCCGAUGAAGACGAUAGGACAGUCCGUGACGCCUGUCUCUCUGUCUGUGGGACCCUCUUUCUGAAGCUAUGAUUUUCAUGCACAUUUCUCUUCUUCUUCUAUUAUCAAUGUAGUACUCCUUCCGUUUUAUAAUAGAUGAUAUUAUUCAUUGGUGCACAAAUAUUAAAAAAUUUACUUUUCUCUAAAAAGUAAUUUUAAAAAUAUAAUUUAAAAAUCAUUCAACCAAUUACAUAAAUGACUAUAACAUCUAAUUGGUUACACAGUUUUCAAUAAAAUUAAAAAUAACAUAAAAUAUCAAAACAUCAUCUAUUUUGAAACAAUAAAAAUCUUCUAAAACAUCAUCUAUUAUGAAACAGAAGAAGUAUAAUAUUUUCUUUCUAAUCUUCAGUCAUAUAGACUUUGACUGAAUGGUAUACCUUGCGCAACUGUCAUUAGUGGAAAAUUUGAUUCCUAGUUAAGCUGUAAAACUGCCAAUCAGGUAAAACUACAUUUUCCUACAUUUUCUCUAGUUACUAUUCAAUCAAAAGUAAAGUUACACUCAUUGUUGGGCUACAUUUUACGAAAGUAAUUCUUGUGUUUCAUUUUUCCUCUUUUUUAUUUUCUUUCAUUUCCACCUUUUUUGUUACUUUCAUUUACUCCAAAAGUUCCCAAUCAGGCUCCUAGAAGUUCAUGAGCAUCAUGGUGAUAACGAUAACUGUCACUUCCAGUUUUUAGAUUUGGAUCCAAAUCUAAAAUAGUGAUGGCUUUCUAGUAUUUGCUUACGCUGGUAUAAACAACUUUUAUAUAUCUUUGAUUGUAUUACACAUUUUAAAAUUGUCUACUGAACAUGGUUUACGUUUACAAUUUUGAUGCUUGAUAAAAUAAUUAUAGAAUUUUCAAAUUCAACGCUUAAUAUGUGUGAGAGGUUGUUAUAUGAAGGUGAUGGUUUGAUAUAUCUCUAUUUCAACUCAUUUAAACAUCGAUGUUGUUUUUUUAAUAAAUAGAUAUAUUAUUUGGAAGUUAUGUUUAUUUUAUAUUUAUAUCAACAGUUUUGAAAGGUGAAUGCAAGUUUAAAAUUCUCUGGCAUCACCACACUUCGCGCGAGUCCACUAACUACUACAAUUACAUCAAAAUCAUUAAGAAUAUUAAGGUCUGUUUUUUACUGGUAAAAAAUCUUUGAAAAAGGUAACGCAGACAUGCAUAUAUGAGAAGAUCGACGGUAGUAUUAAAUAUAAUUUCUGAUAGUUAAUUCUCGAAAUGUAACAUAAACGAACAAGUAUACAAUAAUUAUACAUAUCUUAUAGAUUAGAUUACAUUGAAAAUUCCAUAAAUAAUGCAACUCAACCUCUAUUUUGGCUUUUUGUGUUUGCCUUCUUUUGGUCCAUUGGAUGCUUUAAUAUUCCCUUCUUGGUAUCCAAAGUUUGUAUAUACGACUUUAAAAUCUCAUUAUUUAGUUUUAUCAUAUGUAAUUGAUACGUCUAUACAAUUAUACAAAAUAAUUUUUUUUGAUUCAACCGUAAAUUCUGGAACUAAAACUUUGAUUCCAAUAUAGAUCGGAUUUAUCUCUUUUUGUAUCUUUACAACACAAAGUUAGCAUAAAUAUUGUUAUAUAAACGUCAUAUUAUGACUCCACUUGUGCCUUGUUAAUUAUUACUUUGUGUAACAAUUGUAUUUGAAUAUGGAUGCUGGUGUUAUUAUUAAACUCCCUCCGGUCAAUAUUCAAAUAAGUUAGACGUCACGUCAUUAUAAAAAUAUGAUUUAGACGUAUCAAACAACAUGAUGGAUAUAUAGCAUAUCUGCAAAAGUUGGUUUCUGGUUAAAAACUUGGAAUAAAAGUUAUUUUAGUUUAAGCUUUGAAAGACAGAAAAGUCGCGGGCUGUGUUUCAGCUAGAACACAAGGAACCGACAUGAUUCUACCGACCCUUGAAACACUAUAACAUUCACUUUGGAUUAAGUUGCAUGGCUCUGUAACCUGACACAGUUAACAAACUUGCCUAUCCAUAUACCCGCGAGAUAACACUUUUGUAGUAUUUGGGCUAAAGUGGUUUGCAACCCAAGUCCAUAACGUAUAGCAGAGCGUUUUGUACUUAAAAUAGGACUAUGCAGCGGUGAAUAGUGUCUUACUGUUUGUUCAUUAAACAACUCCGAAAAUUUGAAAACUGUAAAUAAUGUGUAAUGUGUCCUGAUAACUAAAGAAAUACACACAAGAGUGCUUGAAUCCCGAAACGAGAGAUCAAUAAGUCAUUAACUUUUUCUCUUUACGAUUAUGAAGCAAUGUCUCUUUCAAUAUAGAUCAAAGAAAAUGGAAGUAAAGAUGACAUAAUAAAUAAUAAGUGUGAAGAAGGCUCUUCUUCUUGUGAGUUUCAUGAUUAUAUGACAGCUAAUCUCACCAAUGUCAUAAAGUCUUAGACAGUGGCUAAACAAUGCUUUCCCGACC